rnacentral:rRNA from 1 species
CCUACGGGAGACAGCAGUCGAGAAUCAUUCACAAUGGGGGAAACCCUGAUGGUGCGACGCCGCGUGGGGGAAUGAAGGUCUUCGGAUUGUAAACCCCUGUCAUGUGGGAGCAAAUUAAAAAGAUAGUACCACAAGAGGAAGAGACGGCUAACUCUGUGCCAGCAGCCGCGGUAAUACAGAGGUCUCAAGCGUUGUUCGGCAUCACUGGGCGUAAAGCGUGCGUAGGCUGUGUCGUAAGUCGUGUGUGAAAGGCGCGGGCUCAACCCGCGGACGGCACAUGAUACUGCGAGACGAGAGUAAGGGAGGGGGAACCGGAAUUCUCGGUGUAGCAGUGAAAUGCGUAGAUAUCGAGAGGAACACUCGUGGCGAAGGCGGGUUCCUGGACAUUAACUGACGCUGAGGCACGAAGGCCAGGGGAGCGAAAGGGAUUAGAUACCCCAGUAGUC